GAUGAACGCUAGCGGCAGGCCUAACACAUGCAAGUCGAGGGGUAGAAGGAGCUUGCUCCUUUGAGACCGGCGCACGGGUGCGUAACGCGUAUGCAAUCUACCUUGUACAGGGGAAUAGCCCAGAGAAAUUUGGAUUAAUGCCCCAUAGUAUAUAACCUUCGCAUGUUGGUUAUAUUAAAGUUCCAACGGUACAAGAUGAGCAUGCGUCCCAUUAGUUAGUUGGUAAGGUAACGGCUUACCAAGACGAUGAUGGGUAGGGGUCCUGAGAGGGAGAUCCCCCACACUGGUACUGAGACACGGACCAGACUCCUACGGGAGGCAGCAGUGAGGAAGAUUGGUCAAUGGUCGAAAGACUGAACCAGCCAUGCCGCGUGCAGGAAGACGGUCCUAGGGAUUGUAAACUGCUUUUAUACAGGAAGAAACCCUCCCACGUGUGGGAGCUUGACGGUACUGUAGGAAUAAGGAUCGGCUAACUCCGUG
rnacentral:rRNA from 1 species